UACGGAAGGCAGCAGUGGGGGAAUAUUGCACAAUGGGCGCAAGCCUGAUGCAGCCAUGCCGCGUGUAUGAAGAAGGCCUUCGGGUUGUAAAGUACUUUCAGUCGUGAGGAAGGUGUUAAGGUUAAUAACCUUAGCAAUUGACGUUAGCGACAGAAGAAGCACCGGCUAACUCCGUGCCAGCAGCCGCGGUAAUACGGAGGGUGCGAGCGUUAAUCGGAAUUACUGGGCGUAAAGGGCACGCAGGCGGUUAAUUAAGUUGGAUGUGAAAUCCCCGGGCUUAACCUGGGAAUGGCAUUCAAGACUGGUUAGCUAGAGUCUUGUAGAGGGGGUAGAAUUCCAUGUGUAGCGGUGAAAUGCGUAGAGAUGUGGAGGAAUACCGGUGGCGAAGGCGGCCCCUGGACAAAGACUGACGCUCAUGUGCGAAAGCGUGGGGAGCGAAAC
rnacentral:rRNA from 1 species